rnacentral:rRNA from 1 species
UACGUAGGGUGCAAGCGUUGUCCGGAAUUAUUGGGCGUAAAGAGCUCGUAGGCGGUCUGUCGCGUCGGAUGUGAAAACUCGGGGCUCAACCCCGAGCCUGCAUUCGAUACGGGCAGACUAGAGUUCGGUAGGGGAGACUGGAAUUCCUGGUGUAGCGGUGAAAUGCGCAGAUAUCAGGAGGAACACCGGUGGCGAAGGCGGAUCUCUGGGCCUUACCUGACGCUCAGGCACGAAAGCUAGGGGAGCGAACAGG